GACGAAGGAUGCAAGCGUUAUCCGGAUUCAUUGGGUUUAAAGGGAGCGUAGGCGGCCUUGUAGGUCAGUGGUGAAAUCUUUCCGCUUAACGGAAAAACUGCCAUUGAUACUGCUUGGCUUGAGUACAGAUGCUGUGGGCGGAAUAUGACAUGUAGUGGUGAAAUACAUAGAGAUGUCAUAGAACACCGAUUGCGAAGGCAGCUCACAAAACUGUAACUGACGCUGAGGCUCGAAAGUGUGGGGAUCAAACAGG
rnacentral:rRNA from 1 species